ACGAACGCUGGCGGCGUGCUUAACCCCUGCAAGUCGAACGGAAAGGCCCCUUUGGGGGUACUCGAGUGGCGAACGGGUGAGUAACACGUGAGUAACCUGCCCUUGACUUCGGGAUAACUUCAGGAAACUGGGGCUAAUACCGGAUAGGAAUCCUUGCUGCAUGGUGGGGGUUGGAAAGCUUCGGCGGGUUUGGAUGGACUCGCGGCUUAUCAGCUUGGUGGUGGGGUAGUGGCUUACCAAGGCUUUGACGGGUAGCCGGCCUGAGAGGGCGACCGGCCACAUUGGGACUGAGAUACGGCCCAGACUCCUACGGGAGGCAGCAGUGGGGAAUAUUGCACAAUGGGCGGAAGCCUGAUGCAGCAACGCCGCGUGCGGGAUGACGGCCUUCGGGUUGUAAACCGCUUUCAGCAGGGGCGAAGCUUGUGGUGACGGUACCUGCAGAAGAAGCACCGGCUAACUACGUG
rnacentral:rRNA from 1 species